CUCAGCCCCCUCCAUGUGCGCCCUCAGCGUGCACUCCGCUCGAGGGUCGACUCCCCUGGCAUGCUAGCACUGAAACCACAAAACCCUACCCUGUUGACUCUCUAGGCUUGCAAAACAGAAACAGAAAGAGAAACAUAGAAGCAAGUCGACAAAGCAGAAACCAAACAAUGGCUAAAUAGUACCAAACAGUAGCAAAGGCAGUGAUAAAGAAAGAAAUAUGUAUUUUUAAACAAGGAAAAAAUGGCUAUAAAGGCCAGAUGAUAGUUUGUAUUCGAGAGGGGGGAUUUUUUAUUUUUGAAAUAAAAAUACAAAGAAAGUCGAAACAUCAAAGGUUUUCUUUUUUUAUUUUUAUUUAUUUUUGUUUCAUUUCUCGGAAUAAAAGAUAGAAAGCAAAAAACUCACCUAUCUCCCUCGUGUCUUGCCAUCGUCAGAGGUCCCCUUUGGUCGUGAAAGCCAAGAAAACCUUUUAGGGUUUAGAUCGAGCUUUGAAAAAGGAAUAUGGGAAGUCAAAGGGCCAAAGUCGAUUGUUUCUCGCUUUCUCUUACUUUUUCUAGGAUUUUGCAUAGAGAUUUAAGAUUUUUUUAGGUUGAAAAUCGAUUUUGAGGUCUCCGGCCACCGUGUACGGCGGCGCUAUCGCUAGUGACCGACGGCCAUCACGGUGGUCCGGCGACCAAUCUCAGAACGGAGGGGGAAGGUUGAGAG
rnacentral:lncRNA from 1 species